AGUGAACGCUGGCGGUAGGCCUAACACAUGCAAGUCGAACGGCAGCACAGUAAGAGCUUGCUCUUACGGGUGGCGAGUGGCGGACGAGUGAGGAAUACAUCGGAAUCUACUUUUUCGUGGGGGAUAACGUAGGGAAACUUACGCUAAUACCGCAUACGACCUACGGGUGAAAGCAGGGGAUCUUCGGACCUUGCGCGAUUGAAUGAGCCGAUGUCGGAUUAGCUAGUUGGCGGGGUAAAGGCCCACCAAGGCGACGAUCCGUAGCUGGUCUGAGAGGAUGAGCAGCCACACUGGAACUGAGACACGGUCCAGACUCCUACGGGAGGCAGCAGUGGGGAAUAUUGGACAAUGGGCGCAAGCCUGAUCCAGCCAUACCACGUGGGUGAAGAAGGCCUUCGGGUUGUAAAGCCCUUUUGUUGGGAAAGAAAAGCAGCAGGUUAAUACCCCGCUGUUCUGACGGUACCCAAAGAAUAAGCACCGGCUAACUUCGUG
rnacentral:rRNA from 1 species